rnacentral:rRNA from 1 species
UAGGGAAUUUUGCGCAAUGGGCGAAAGCCUGACGCAGCAACACCGCGUGAGCGACGAAGCCCUUUGGGGUGUAAAGCUCUGUCAGUGGGGACGAAACAAUGACGGUACCCACAGAGGAAGCAUCGGCUAACUACGUGCCAGCAGCCGCGGUAAGACGUAGGAUGCAAGCGUUGUCCGGAUUUAUUGGGCGUAAAGCGUUCGUAGGCGGCAUAUCAAGUCUGGUGUUAAAGCCCGGGGCUCAACCCCGGUUCGGCACUGGAUACUGAUAAGCUAGAGUGUAGUAGAGGCAAGGGGAAUUCCCAGUGUAGCGGUGAAAUGCGUAGAUAUUGGGAGGAACACCGGUGGCGUAAGCGCCUUGCUGGGCUAUUACUGACGCUGAGGAACGAAAGCCGGGGGAGCAAAUG